AAAGUCGUAACAAGGUUUCCGUAGGUGAACCUGCGGAAGGAUCAUUAUUGAAUCUUACCAAUAACACACACACACUUGUGAACUGUUCUAUACACACUAUGAUAUAUUGACUUAAGCUUUAUAUAACCAAUUGAAUACAACUUUUAACAGUGGAUCUCUUGGCUCCU
rnacentral:misc_RNA from 1 species